GCCGAACGCUGGCGGCAGGCUUAACACAUGCAAGUCGAACGAGUGGCGGACGGGUGAGUAAUGCUUGGGAAUCUAGCUUAUGGAGGGGGAUAACUACGGGAAACUGUAGCUAAUACCGCGUACCAUAGGAUGAGCCCAAGUGGGAUUCGGUAGUUGGUGAGGGAAAUUCUCACCAAGCCGACGAUCUCUAGCUGGUCUGAGAGGAUGACCCGCCAAAAUGUGACUGAGAAAAGGCCCAGACUCCUACGGGAGGCAGCAGUGGGGAAUAUUGCGCAAUGGGGGCAACCUGACGCAGCCAGGCCGCGUGAAUGAAGAAGGCUUUCGGGUGGUAAAGUUCUUUCGGUAGCGAGGCGUUAACUACAGAAGAAGCACCGGCUAACGCCUUGCCAGCAGCCGCGGUAAUAC
rnacentral:rRNA from 1 species